rnacentral:rRNA from 1 species
UGCAGUCGAACGCGUUGGCCCAAUUGAUUGAUGGUGCUUGCACCUGAUUGAUUUUGGUCGCCAACGAGUGGCGGACGGGUGAGUAACACGUAGGUAACCUGCCCAGAAGCGGGGGACAACAUUUGGAAACAGAUGCUAAUACCGCAUAACAGCGUUGUUCGCAUGAACAACGCUUAAAAGAUGGCUUCUCGCUAUCACUUCUGGAUGGACCUGCGGUGCAUUAGCUUGUUGGUGGGGUAAUGGCCUACCAAGGCGAUGAUGCAUAGCCGAGUUGAGAGACUGAUCGGCCACAAUGGGACUGAGACACGGCCCAUACUCCUACGGGAGGCAGCAGUAGGGAAUCUUCCACAAUGGGCGCAAGCCUGAUGGAGCAACACCGCGUGAGUGAAGAAGGGUUUCGGCUCGUAAAGCUCUGUUGUUAAAGAAGAACACGUAUGAGAGUAACUGUUCAUACGUUGACGGUAUUUAACCAGAAAGUCACGGCUAACUACGUGCCAGCAGCCGCGGUAAUACGUAGGUGGCAAGCGUUAUCCGGAUUUAUUGGGCGUAAAGAGAGUGCAGGCGGUUUUCUAAGUCUGAUGUGAAAGCCUUCGGCUUAACCGGAGAAGUGCAUCGGAAACUGGAUAACUUGAGUGCAGAAGAGGGUAGUGGAACUCCAUGUGUAGCGGUGGAAUGCGUAGAUAUAUGGAAGAACACCAGUGGCGAAGGCGGCUACCUGGUCUGCAACUGACGCUGAGACUCGAAAGCAUGGGUAGCGAACAGGAUUAGAUACCCUGGUAGUCCAUGCCGUAAACGAUGAGUGCUAGGUGUUGGAGGGUUUCCGCCCUUCAGUGCCGGAGCUAACGCAUUAAGCACUCCGCCUGGGGAGUACGACCGCAAGGUUGAAACUCAAAGGAAUUGACGGGGGCCCGCACAAGCGGUGGAGCAUGUGGUUUAAUUCGAAGCUACGCGAAGAACCUUACCAGGUCUUGACAUCUUGCGCCAACCCUAGAGAUAGGGCGUUUCCUUCGGGAACGCAAUGACAGGUGGUGCAUGGUCGUCGUCAGCUCGUGUCGUGAGAUGUUGGGUUAAGUCCCGCAACGAGCGCAACCCUUGUUACUAGUUGCCAGCAUUAAGUUGGGCACUCUAGUGAGACUGCCGGUGACAAACCGGAGGAAGGUGGGGACGACGUCAGAUCAUCAUGCCCCUUAUGACCUGGGCUACACACGUGCUACAAUGGACGGUACAACGAGUCGCGAACUCGCGAGGGCAAGCAAAUCUCUUAAAACCGUUCUCAGUUCGGACUGCAGGCUGCAACUCGCCUGCACGAAGUCGGAAUCGCUAGUAAUCGCGGAUCAGCAUGCCGCGGUGAAUACGUUCCCGGGCCUUGUACACACCGCCCGUCACACCAUGAGAGUUUGUAACACCCAAAGUCGGUGGGGUAACCUUUUAGGAGCCAGCCGC